CAAAUAUUAUAAACCUAAUGGUUCCUGCUGCCUCAUUGGUCGAUACUGUAAUCUCAGAGAGAGAGAUUUGUUGUGCAAUGUAAAUCAGAAAUGUAUAAAAAAAAAAAAAAUCAGUUUCAAAAAUUUAUUUUUUCUAUUUCAGAUUCACGAAACAACAGGGACUUCUGGCAGCCCUACGCCUCACAGAACCUCGGAACGAACCGGUACUUCCUGACUACUGAAGAAUGAUUCGUUUUCAACAGUUAAUUUCCUGAAACUACUGAUGAGGGCUUUGUUUUCAAGAGUUAAUUUCCCAAAACUACUGAUGAGGGCUUUGUUUUUAAGAGUUAAUUUCCUGAAACUACUGAUGAGGGCUUCGUUUUCAAGAGUUAACUUCCUGACACUACUGAUGAGGGCUUCGUUUUCAAGUUAACUUCCUGACACUACUGAUGAGGGCUUCGUUUUCAAGUUAACUUCCUGACACUACUGAUGAGGGUUUCGUUUUCAAGUUAACUUCCUGACACUACUGACGAAGGCUUUGUUUUCAACAGUUAACUUCCUGACACUACUGAUGAAGGCUUAAUUUUCAACAAUUAACUUCCUGACACUACUGAUGAAGGCUUCGUUUUCAACAGUUAACUUCCUGACACUACUGAUGAGGGCUUCGUUUUCAACAGUUAACUUCCUGACACUACUGAUGAGGGCUUCGUUUUCAAGUUAACUUCCUGACACUACUGAUGAGGGCUAUGUUUUCAAGUUAACUUCCUGACACUACUGACGAAAGCUUUGUUUUCAACAGUUAACUUCCUGACACUACUGAUGAAGGCUUAAUUUUCAACAAUUAACUUCCUGACACUACUGAUGAAGGCUUCGUUUUCAACAGUUAACUUCCUGACACUACUGACGAAGGCUUCGUUUUCAGUUACUCGGUUGUUAAUAUUGGUGUGAUCCCUUUUUUCCCCAUCAGAAUACUACCUUUUGUGACAAAUUUACAGAAAAAAGAAUCUAUUUUAAUUGCCCUAUACUGUUGUAAAUCCAUUAGAUUUUAGGCUAUAAUAAACUAAUUGUUACAA